UCAGGAGUGAACGCUGGCGGCGUGGCCUAACACAUGGCAAGUCGACGAACGCGCCGUGCGGCGGACCCUCCCGGGGGAAAGGCCGCGGGGGACGUGAGUGGCGGACGGGUGAGCAACGCGUGGGCGAACCUGCCCUACCGGGGGCGAACAGCCGAAACGGCUGCUAAUACCGCAUAUUCCCGCGGGGUCGCGAUGGCCCUGCGGGGAAAGGCUCCGGCAGUACGGGAUGGGCCCGCGUCUGAUUAGCUUGUUGGCGGGGUAACGGCCCACCAAGGCUGCGAUCAGUAGCCGGCCUGAGAGGGCGGCCGGCCACAUUGGGACUGAGACACGGCCCAGACUCCUGCGGGAGGCAGCAGUGGGGGAUAUUGCACAAUGGGGGGAACCCUGAUGCAGCGACGCCGCGUGAACGAAGAAAUAUUUCGGCAUGUAAAGUUCUAUCAGCAGGGAAGAAAAUGACAGUACCUGACCAAGAAGCCCCGGCUAACUACGUG
rnacentral:rRNA from 1 species